GAGCGUGCGGGCGAUACGGGCAGACUUGAGUACUGCAGGGGAGACUGGAAUUCCUGGUGUAGCGGUGGAAUGCGCAGAUAUCAGGAGGAACACCGGUGGCGAAGGCGGGUCUCUGGGCAGUAACUGACGCUGAGGAGCGAAAGCGUGGGGAGCGAACAGGAUUAGAUACCCUGGUAGUCCACGCCGUAAACGGUGGGUACUAGGUGUGGGUUUCCUUCCUUGGGAUCCGUGCCGUAGCUAACGCAUUAAGUACCCCGCCUGGGGAGUACGACCGCAAGGCUAAAACUCAAAGAAAUUGACGGGGGCCCGCACAAGCGGCGGAGCAUGUGGAUUAAUUCGAUGCAACGCGAAGAACCUUACCUGGGUUUGACAUGCACAGGACGCCGGCAGAGAUGUCGGUUCCCUUGUGGCCUGUGUGCAGGUGGUGCAUGGCUGUCGUCAGCUCGUGUCGUGAGAUGUUGGGUUAAGUCCCGCAACGAGCGCAACCCUUGUCUCAUGUUGCCAGCGGGUAAUGCCGGGGACUCGUGAGAGACUGCCGGGGUCAACUCGGAGGAAGGUGGGGAUGACGUCAAGUCAUCAUGCCCCUUAUGUCCAGGGCUUCACACAUGCUACAAUGGCCGGUACAAAGGGCUGCGAUGCCGCGAGGUUAAGCGAAUCCUUUUAAAGCCGGUCUCAGUUC
rnacentral:rRNA from 1 species